UUCUCGUUUGUGACAGUGUGCUACGUUGUGUUUUGUGUGUUUGUGAAGUGUAAGUGACAUAUUGUGUUAUAUUUAGACAUCCUUGAGAGAUGGAGAGUUUUGCACGUCUGGACGCUAUAUUUUAUUACCUUGCAAAUGGUUCCCACCAACUAGGAAGUAGUAGGAUACAGAUGUCUUCUGUCGGUAGAGCAGCAAAGCAGUAUGUGUUAGAUAUGGGUAUGUUGUACUAUGUUAAUUCAGGUAAGAGACGUCUGGUUGUACGUACCCCUGAGGAGAGGGACAGGGUACUGUAUGAGUGCCAUGACAGUGCAGCCACUGGAGAGCACCCUGGUGUACAGAAGACUGCACAGAAGGCAGUGCAGCAUUUUUAUUGGCUGACUUUGAAAAAGGAUGUAGAGGAUUGGGUUGGUUCCUGUGAGCCAUGUCAGAGGCAUGACAGAAUUAAGACUGUAGCACCUACGCUACACCCUAUUAAGGUCCAGGGUCCCGGGCAGGUCAUGGGAGUUGAUUUAAUUGGGCCGCUCAAAACGACAUCCAAGGGUUACAUCCAUAUCAUAAGUUUUACUGAUUUGUUCUCCAAGUGGGUCAUGGCUAGGCCUCUGAGAGGCAAGAACGGUCCAGGGGUAGGACUUAUGGUGACACAAACUGUUUUGGCACAGGGUGGUGUCAAAAAGAUUAUCACUGAUAUGACACGCCCAAAGAUGUCGGCAUCGCUUCUGAUGUCCAGGAAUUGAGUGUAUUGUGCGACAUCUCGAUGGAAGCUGUAGGUGCUGAAUGUAGGUAUUUCUUCAUUUAUACAUCUCCACAUAUGUACUGUCAAGUUCAAUGUAGAGUGUUGAAUGUGUUUUAUGUUCCUUUUUCCUAAAAGGUGCAGAUGUUGAUCACACAUUGGAAGUUGUCGUGCCACGUUUCGCGACUUAGACAGUCUGGCAGGCCCAGAGUUCAACUGGCUGACCGAUGAUAUUGUGAAUACGUGCGUUGCAGUGAUUGCGGCAGAUCACAAACAACGUUCCACUGACAAAGCCGUGUUCCACGCCCUUACCACAGACGCAUACACGUUGUGGUGUCGUGACUGGACAGCACAUAGUUGUGUUACGGAAAGAACUUUAAGCUGUAUCAAUGGCAUUAAGCCAGAUGGCGUGGUGCUACUGCCCCGUCUCGUUGGUCUGCGUUAAAAUAAAGCUUUACAGGUUUGGUCAGCGGACACCUGGGGUUAAAUGCGUUGUACUGUAGCUUUACAGGUUCGGUUAGAUAAGGUAAAGUUGUGCCCUGCUGCUGGCGUUCCCUAGUCAAUGCCAGUCACUUGGAGUUAGACAUGCCUUGCUUCUGUCACCGGUCACAUGGGUUAGACUUUGUCUUACAGGUGUGGUUAGCGCACACCUGGGGUUAGAAAGAUGUGCCUUGUUUUUACUGUCUUACAGGUGUGGUCAGCGAGCAGUGCGUGCGUUGCGCUUGUAGGAAGUCCUUUACGGUUCCC